UACGGGGGGGGCAAGCGUUGUUCGGAAUUACUGGGCGUAAAGGGUUCGUAGGUGGCCCGCUAAGUCAGACGUGAAAUCCCUCAGCUCAACUGAGGAACUGCGUCUGAGACUGGCGGGCUCGAGUGCAGGAGAGGAACGCGGAAUUCCAGGUGUAGCGGUGAAAUGCGUAGAUAUCUGGAGGAACACCGGUGGCGAAGGCGGCGUUCUGGACUGCUACUGACACUGAACAACGAAAGCCAGGGGAGCAAACGGG
rnacentral:rRNA from 2 species